rnacentral:rRNA from 1 species
UUUCAGAAGCUCACAGAUGUGCUGCUAUCCAGUCUCUAUGUGAAAAUCCAUACUAAAUUAUUGUGUGAUCAUAUUGAUAAUUGGAUUGAUGUUUAUAAUGCUUGGAUUGGGACUCAAUAUCACAUCUUCUUGAAUGGUUGAAGAUGA